rnacentral:rRNA from 1 species
GACGAACGCUGGCGGCGUGCCUAAUACAUGCAAGUUGAGCGCUGAAGGUUGGUACUUGUACCAACUGGAUGAGCAGCGAACGGAUGAGUAACGCGUGGGGAAUCUGCCUUUGAGCGGGGGACAACAUUUGGAAACGAAUGCUAAUACCGCAUAAAAACUUUAAACACAAGUUUUAAGUUUGAAAGAUGCAAUUGCAUCACUCAAAGAUGAUCCCGCGUUGUAUUAGCUAGUUGGUGAGGUAAAGGCUCACCAAGGCGAUGAUACAUAGCCGACCUGAGAGGGUGAUCGGCCACAUUGGGACUGAGACACGGCCCAAACUCCUACGGGAGGCAGCAGUAGGGAAUCUUCGGCAAUGGACGAAAGUCUGACUGAGCAACGCCGCGUGAGUGAAGAAGGUUUUCGGAUCGUAAAACUCUGUUGGUAGAGAAGAACGUUGGUGAGAGUGGAAAGCUCAUCAAGUGACGGUAACUACCCAGAAAGGGACGGCUAACUACGUG